rnacentral:rRNA from 1 species
GAUGAACGCUGGCGGCGUGCCUAAUACAUGCAAGUCGAGCGAACGGACGAUAAGCUUGCUUUUCUGAUGUUAGCGGCGGACGGGUGAGUAACACGUGGAUAACCUACCUAUAAGACUGGGAUAACUUCGGGAAACCGGAGCUAAUACCGGAUAAUAUUUUGAACCGCAUGGUUCAAAAGUGAAAGACGGUCUUGCUGUUACUUAUAGAUGGAUCCGCGCUGCAUUAGCUAGUUGGUAAGGUAACGGCUUACCAGGGCAACGAUGCAUAGCCGACCUGAGAGGGUGAUCGGCCACACUGGAACUGAGACACGGUCCAGACUCCUACGGGAGGCAGCAGUAGGGAAUCUUGCGCAAUGGGCGAAAGCCUGACGGAGCAACGCCGCGUGAGUGAUGAAGGUCUUCGGAUCGUAAAACUCUGUUAUUAGGGAAGAACAUAUGUGUAAGUAACUGUGCACAUCUUGACGGUACCUAAUCAGAAAGCCACGGCUAACUACGUG